UCGAGGGGCAGCAUAAUGGAUAGCAAUAUCUAUGGUGGCGACCGGCGCACGGGUGCGUAACGCGUAUGCAACCUACCUUUAACAGGGGGAUAACACUGAGAAAUUGGUACUAAUACCCCAUAAUAUCAUAGAAGGCAUCUUUUAUGGUUGAAAAUUCCGAUGGUUAGAGAUGGGCAUGCGUUGUAUUAGCUAGUUGGUGGGGUAACGGCUCACCAAGGCGACGAUACAUAGGGGGACUGAGAGGUUAACCCCCCACACUGGUACUGAGACACGGACCAGACUCCUACGGGAGGCAGCAGUGAGGAAUAUUGGUCAAUGGACGCAAGUCUGAACCAGCCAUGCCGCGUGCAGGAUGACGGCUCUAUGAGUUGUAAACUGCUUUUGUACGAGGGUAAACGCAGAUACGUGUAUCUGUCUGAAAGUAUCGUACGAAUAAGGAUCGGCUAACUCCGUGCCAGCAGCCGCGGUAAUACGGAGGAUUCAAGCGUUAUCCGGAUUUAUUGGGUUUAAAGGGUGCGUAGGCGGUUUGAUAAGUUAGAGGUGAAAUUUCGGGGCUCAACCCUGAACGUGCCUCUAAUACUGUUGAGCUAGAGAGUAGUUGCGGUAGGCGGAAUGUAUGGUGUAGCGGUGAAAUGCUUAGAGAUCAUACAGAACACCGAUUGCGAAGGCAGCUUACCAAACUAUAUCUGACGUUGAGGCACGAAAGCGUGGG
rnacentral:rRNA from 1 species